rnacentral:rRNA from 1 species
UACGAGGGGGGCGAGCGUUGUUCGGAAUUAUUGGGCGUAAAGGGUGCGUAGGCGGUUUUGAUAAGUCUGAUGUGAAUACUAUGGGCUCAACCCAUAGCCUGCAUUAGAAACUGUCGGGCUUGAGUAUGGGAGAGGUGAGUGGAAUUUCCGGUGUAGCGGUGAAAUGCGUAGAUAUCGGAAGGAACACCUGUGGCGAAAAGCGGCUCACUGGACCAUUACUGACGCUGAUGCACGAAAGCUAGGGGAGCAAACAGG